AUACGGAGGAUCCGAGCGUUAUCCGGAUUUAUUGGGUUUAAAGGGAGCGUAGGCGGACGCUUAAGUCAGUUGUGAAAGUUUGCGGCUCAACCGUAAAAUUGCAGUUGAUACUGGGUGUCUUGAGUACAGUAGAGGCAGGCGGAAUUCGUGGGGUAGCGGGGAAAUGCUUAGAUAUCACGAAGAACUCCGAUUGCGAAGGCAGCCUGCCGGACUGUAACUGACGCUGAUGCUCGAAAGUGUGGGUAUCAAACAGGAUUAGAUACCCUGGUAGUCCACACAGUAAACGAUGAAUACUCGCUGUUUGCGAUAUACAGUAAGCGGCCAAGCGAAAGCGUUAAGUAUUCCACCUGGGGAGUACGCCGGCAACGGUGAAACUCAAAGGAAUUGACGGGG
rnacentral:rRNA from 1 species